rnacentral:rRNA from 1 species
UACGGUUACCUUGUUACGACUUCACCCCAGUCAUAAGCCACACCGUGGUAAGCGCCCUCCCGAAGGUUAAGCUACCUACUUCUGGUACAACCUACUUCCAUGGUGUGACGGGCGGUGUGUACAAGACCCGGGAACGUAUUCACCGCGACAUUCUGAUUCGCGAUUACUAGCGAUUCCGACUUCACGGAGUCGAGUUGCAGACUCCGAUCCGGACUACGACGAGCUUUAAGGGAUUGGCUCACCAUUGCUGGCUGGCAACCCUCUGUAUUCGCCAUUGUAGCACGUGUGUAGCCCUGCCCAUAAGGGCCAUGAUGACUUGACGUCGUCCCCACCUUCCUCCAGUUUGUCACCGGCAGUCUCCCUAAAGUUCCCACCCGAAGUGCUGGCAACUAGGGACAAGGGUUGCGCUCGUUGCGGGACUUAACCCAACAUCUCACGACACGAGCUGACGACAGCCAUGCAGCACCUGUCACUCAAUUCCCGAAGGCACCAAGUUAUUUCUAACAAGUUCUGAGGAUGUCAAGGGCAGGUAAGGUUCUUCGCGUUGCAUCGAAUUAAACCACAUGCUCCACCGCUUGUGCGGGUCCCCGUCAAUUCCUUUGAGUUUUACCGUUGCCGGCGUACUCCCCAGGCGGAGAACUUAAUGCGU